CGCGUGCACUGGUUCGGUCGGGCCUUUUCCUCUGGGGAGCCGCAUGCCCUUCACUGGGCGUGUCGGGGAACCAGGACUUUUACUUUGAAAAAAUUAGAGUGUUCAAAGCAGGCCUAUGCUCGAAUACAUUAGCAUGGAAUAAUAGAAUAGGACUGAGGUUCUAUUUUGUUGGUUUCUAGGACCGCAGUAAUGAUUAAUAGGGACAGUCGGGGGCGUCGGUAUUCAAUUGUCAGAGGUGAAAUUCUUGGAUUUAUUGAAGACCAACUACUGCGAAAGCAUUCGCCAAGGAUGUUUUCAUUAAUCAGGAACGAAAGUUAGGGGAUCGAAGACGAUCAGAUACCGUCGUAGUCUUAACCAUAAACUAUGCGAGCUAGGGAUCGGAGGGUGUUAUUUUUUGACCUCUUCGGCACCUUACGCGAAAGUAUAAGCUUCUGCGUUCCGGGGGGAGUAUGGUCGCAAGGCUGAAACUUAAAGAAAUUGACGGAAGGGCACCACCAGGAGUGGAGCCUGCGGCUUAAUUUGACUCAACACGGGGAAACUCACCAGGUCCAGACACAACGAGGAUUGACAGAUUGAGAGCUCUUUCUUGAUUUUGUGGGUGGUGGUGCAUGGCCGUUCUUAGUUGGUGGAUUGAUUUGUCUGCUUAAUUGCGAUAACGAACGAGACCUUGACCUACUAAAUAGCCCGUAUUGCUUUGGCAGUACGCCGGCUUCUUAGAGGGACUAUCGG
rnacentral:rRNA from 1 species